CCUUCGAUAGCUCAGUUGGUAGAGCGGUGGACUGUAGUUUAAAUUAACGCUUAUCUGCUUCAAUCAGAAAUCCAUAGGUCGCUGGUUCAAAUCCGGCUCGAAGGA
rnacentral:tRNA from 1 species